ensembl:lncRNA
CUCCAUUCAUCCCCUCUGUCCCUCAGCAAGAGCCCCCUGUGCACUCAGCUCUUCUCUCCUGAGAUCUGUGCCGACUCUUUGCCUCCGGAGAGGCCACUGCAGGCACAGGUAGUUGGGGCAGCCCAACACCGAGCAGCAGAAAUGCAUUUAAUGUCACGGAAUGUGCUGCUCUCCCUCAGCCCAAACAGCACAGAACAGAGAGCAGCGCAGAGGGGACGCCGGCGUGUCCUAAUGGAGAAGGACAAAUAUGUCUGAGACGAACCUUCAGAGCAUCUCAUACAGAGUGAGUUGGGAAGAAUGUAUUAUUUCAAAACCUCCGUGUUUGUCCAAGCAGGCGGAUAAUGGCAUUCUUGAGAACACAGCGUUGCUGUCACACAGCGCCCUCAGCACAGAUGGAGACUGAGCAGAACUGCUUAGGAAUACGUUGGGGCUUCAUGUGUUUACAGUCCAUCCUAAUGGCAGGGCGGCUGAUGCUGAGCUCAGCCCGAGCAGUGAAUGGAAGACGUUUCCACGCACUGCUGUUCUGUGUUGGGCUUUUAGGCGCUGCAUGCACCACGGUUUCCUCUCCAAGCACCCUCCUUGCUGUGCUGCAUGGACCCAUGGCUGAAUUCUCACCGGAGCAGAGCUUUCCUCUACAUCAUUUGACCAACUCUUCAAGAGACCACGCAGUAAUGACAAAAACAUGCAAUUAUCUUUCAUCACCUGAUUUGCCCAUUUUACUGAGAUCAUUGAGAGUGGCUCCAUGUUCAGUUUUGGUCUACUUGUCAAAGAUUCAGCAAGAAAUCCAUGAGAUAAUGGUGGUUACUACAUUCAGAAAAUUAAGAAGUUGUAUCCUCCUUUUCUCCAGAAAUAUCCGCCUAUUCUCCAGAAUCAUAAUG